AUGCCUCCUCUCCUCGAUAAUGCGCUGGUGCAGAAUCAAGCUGCUGCGCAAGCUCUUGAGAUGGAUCACAGUGGCCUCACUCUCUCUCUGGGCAUUGACUCCAACAGUGUUGAAACUGCAAAUUCAGUUCAAGGUGCCGACAAUCUUUUGUUGUUUGGAAAUCUCCUAGUUCCACAUGAUCCGCCAGUCUUGAUGCCAGAGAUUCAGCUUCUAGAUCUCAAUAUGCCACUUGAGGUGGAAUUGCAGCAACCAGAGAUCCCUGUUGCAUUGCUGCAUGCUGACCUGCAGGAGGAAAUGGAGCAGCAACUGCCAAAAGCCCAUAUUGAUGUUGCAAUGUUUGUACCACCGGAUGUGCAGGUUAAUGAUGCCACUGCCUUGCAGAUGUCGCAGGAUCAGCCACCUCCAGGGAUGUCAGAAUUGCACAGCCAGGACGAUCCGCUACCUGAUAACGCUCUGCUUCCACAUCAUAUGUUGAUGGCCCCUUUUGCUGCUCAAGAGGACAACUAUCAUCAACAGAUAGUUGGUACUGCUGCUGAGCCUGAGGAAGCUGCUCCAGAUAAAUUUCAAGAGCCUGUUAUUUCUGCCACAGUCAACCAAACAGUAAACACUGCAGCUUCAGAACUACCCAGCCCAGAUUCAGGUAGUUCUAAUCCUCCUCCUGGCUUCCCUUUGCCCAUUUUUAAAGACCAAAUUCAUGUGGGUGCUUGUCAACUUUUGCCUAAUGCAGCAGACCCAAUCAUGCAAAAGAUGUUUCUAUCCCAAGCACAGGAAGAACUGCACAAGGCCUGCACUGACCAUGAAGAAGCAAAGCUUUAG
rnacentral:rRNA from 1 species